CUAGAUAUCCAACUAAGAAACCACAAACAUGUUUCUUUUCGUUAGUACAUUUCUUGAGACUAUGCUUAUUUAUGCAAAACUAUCACAAAACCAUUAUUUUAAGACAGGAUUUUAAUGAACCAUACGAACUUCUCUAAAAUAUUUCUCAGAUAAUGGACUUUCAGUCAAGGUGGCUCUGAUACUUUGGACCAGAUGAAAGAGAUACAGGGCACAUUCUUCCUGUUUUCUUGACAUGGGGGCAUAUUCCACUUGAGGCCAAAAGAUGCACAUCAGGUAUCAUUGAUGCAGGACAUCAAAUUGAAAGGCAUGCUUAUUUCCACCCAGAAGCAGCAGACUCCAGGAGAACACAUGCUACAAAACAUAGCAACAGCAACAACAGGAAUCUGCAACUGCAAGAUGGAUCAUCCAUGGC